UCUCGGCUUAUCACCGGCAGUCCCCCUAGAGUGCCCAACUGAAUGAUGGCAACUAAAGACAGGGGUUGUGCUCGUUGCGGGACUUAACCCAACAUCUCACGACACGAGCUGACGACAGCCAUGCAGCACCUCGACUAGUGUCCCUUGCGGGAAAACCGACUUUCGCCAGCUGUCACUAGCCGUUCAAGCCCUGGUAAGGUUCCUCGCGUAUCAUCGAAUUAAACCACAUGCUCCUCCGCUUGUGCGGGCCCCCGUCAAUUCCUUUGAGUUUCACCGUUGCCGGCGUACUCCCCAGGUGGAUUACUUAUCGCUUUUGCUAAGCCACUGAAAGUUGCCCUCCAGCAGCGAGUAAUCAUCGUUUACAGUGUGGACUAC
rnacentral:misc_RNA from 1 species